rnacentral:tRNA from 1 species
GCUACUGUGGCUCAGUCGGUAGAGCAGCUGAUUCGUAAUCAGCAGGUCGCCGGUUCAAGUCCGGCCAGUAGCU